rnacentral:rRNA from 1 species
CUUGACAAACAUAUAGGAGGUCCAGCCUGCCCAGUGACCCUGUUUAACGGCCGCGGUAUUCUAACCGUGCGAAGGUAGCGUAAUCACUUGUUCUUUAAAUGAGGACUAGUAUGAAUGGCAUCACGAGGGUUAUACUGUCUCCUCCCCUUUAUCAGUGAAACUAAUCUCCUCGUGAAGAAGCGAGGAUGAACUUAUAAGACGAGAAGACCCUAUGGAGCUUCAAACUUCCAACAAUUAUCUUUUUUAUAUUAACCUUAAGGCUUUUACAUCAACUUUAAUAAUAUGUAUGUUAGUUUUCGGUUGGGGUGACCGCGGAGUAAAACUCAUCCUCCGCAGUGAAUAUGAAUCAUUAAGCAAAAAACUACGAUUUUAUGCAUCAAAAAAUUGACACUAUUGACCCAACAUUUUGAUCAACGAAC